CUUCUUGGAUUAUUGAGUUUUGGUUGAUUGUUUUUGGUCAAUAUUUUGAUAGUCAAUUUGGUGGUUUGUCCUUAAAUUGGAUUAGAUUUGAAUUCUAAUUUUCUAAUCAAUUUCUGUCAUCAAAUGGAUUGAAUAGAGAAGGUCAAUUCCUGAGAUAAGAUGAGAUUUUCUUUCUUUGUUAUAGGAAAUUUUAUAACCGAAAAAGAAACAAUAACAUGGACUUGUUAUCUUUCCAAGAGUAGUGGUGGUUUUAACGUCUAAUUUAAGGAGCUGUUAAUUGUGUUAAAAUUUACCUGUUGGAAUUUGAUAAAUUGUUCUUUUGUCGUAAAACAAUGCGAAAGGUAACCUAAUGAUAACAAAUGUUCAAACAAGAUAAUAUGUUGGCUAUUUUAAUGGUCGGUGUAACAUUGAAGAAAAGAGGAAAAUCCAUUAAAAGUAGCGUCACAAUGGACAAGGAACCCAAAUCCAUAAAUGGAAAACAAGAAGACCAAAUAGGAAAAGAAGAGAAAAUUUACCUUAGGAAAUAUGAGCAACUAGUGCCAUCUUAUUUUCACUUCGGACAAUCAGUGUAAACAAAAGUGACCAUUUUAAAAUUUAAUUUCCAUUCUAAAGGGUAGAAGAAAGUGAAAGGGUAACAUUGAUUAACUCUAAUUGUUGGCUCGUUGCUACAAUUUACUCUCACUUGACAACUUGUCAGAAAGGAAAAACUUUUCCUUCUCAACAGUGAUAACCUGUUUACAAGCUCGGUUGAUUUUAAUGUGAAAAAAAAGCUGAAAUAUACAAAUUGAGUCACAAUCAGAUAUUCAUUCAGAAGUCAUCGUGUCGACGAAAUGAUCUUUAGACGAUUCACCCUGAGGAUCAUGCUCAAGGUUCUGUUUUCAAGUGAAUUUCAAAUAUAUUUAGUUUUACAUGUUCUUUUCCUACCUGAUGAAUACACACACACAUACACAUAUAAGUGUGAAUACUUUUUUCUUGAAUCUCUCGCUCACUAAUUCCUCUUACAUGAUGAAUAUACACCAAAAGUGAGCGAGUGUAAGUACGCUUAGAAAAUGAGUAUAUAUACAUGUACAUGUUUAAUAAGAUAGAUGAUAGUGAAUAAUUGAGUCGUUGUUUUGCAACAAUUAAAUGACCUUUCGACCCAA